GGAAGGGGCUAGCGUUGUUCGGAAUUACUGGGCGUAAAGCGCGCGUAGGCGGCCGGACAAGUGCGGCGUGAAAGUCCUGGGCUCAACCCGGGGACGGCGCUGCGGACUGUUCGGCUGGAGUCCGGGAGAGGGUGGUGGAAUUCCGAGUGUAGAGGUGAAAUUCGUAGAUAUUCGGAGGAACACCGGUGGCGAAGGCGGCCACCUGGCCCGGAACUGACGCUCAAGCGCGAAAGCGUGGGGAGCAAACAGGAUUAGAUACCCUGGUAGUCCACGCCGUAAACGAUGGGUGCUAGAUGUCGGGGGGCUUGCCCUUCGGUGUCGCAGCCAACGCGUUAAGCACCCCGCCUGGGGAGUACGGCCGCAAGGUUAAA
rnacentral:rRNA from 1 species